rnacentral:rRNA from 1 species
CUACGGGGCCAGCAGUGAGGAAUAUUGCACAAUGGGGGGAACCCUGAUGCAGCAACGCCGCGUGGAGGAUGACGCAUUUCGGUGUGUAAACUCCUUUUAUAUGUCAAGAAAAUGACGGUAGCAUAUGAAUAAGCACCGGCUAACUCCGUGCCAGCAGCCGCGGUAAUACGGAGGGUGCAAGCGUUACUCGGAAUCACUGGGCGUAAAGGACGCGUAGGCGGGUUGGAAAGUCAGGUGUGAAAUCCUACAGCUUAACUGUAGAACUGCACUUGAAACUUCUAAUCUAGAGUAUGGGAGGGGGAGAUGGAAUUAGUGGUGUAGGGGUAAAGUCCGUAGAUAUCACUAGGAAUACCUAAAGCGAAGGCGAUCUCCUGGAACAUUACUGACGCUAAGGCGUGAAAGCGUGGGGAGCAAACAGGAUUAGAUACCCCUGUAGUC